rnacentral:rRNA from 1 species
UACAGAGGCCCCAAGCGUUACUGAGAAUCACUGGGUUUAAAGGGUGCGUAGGUGGUCCGUUAAGUUCGUUGUGAAAGCCCUGGGCUCAAGCCCAGGAAACUGCUUCGAAUACUGGCGGACUUGAGGCGAGUAUAGGUCACUGGAACUGACGGUGGAGCGGUGAAAUGCGUAGAUAUUCGCAAGAACACCAGUGGCGAAGGCGGCUCACUGGACCCGAUACUGCCGCUGAGGCACGAAAGCGUGGGGAGCAAACAGG